AGAGUUUGAUCCUGGCUCAGGAUGAACGCUGGCGGCGUGCUUAACACAUGCAAGUCGAACGGGGAUGCCAUUUUUGAAGCGAUUAGCUUGCUGAGAGUGGAAAUGUUGGCAUCUUAGUGGCGGACGGGUGAGUAACGCGUGGGGAACCUGCCCUGUACAGGGGGAUAACACUUAGAAAUAGGUGCUAAUACCGCAUAAGCGCACAGUAUCGCAUGAUACAGUGUGAAAAACUCCGGUGGUACAGGAUGGACCCGCGUCUGAUUAGCUGGUUGGCGGGGUAACGGCCCACCAAGGCGACGAUCAGUAGCCGGCCUGAGAGGGUGAACGGCCACAUUGGGACUGAGACACGGCCCAAACUCCUACGGGAGGCAGCAGUGGGGAAUAUUGCACAAUGGGGGAAACCCUGAUGCAGCGACGCCGCGUGAGUGAGGAAGUAUUUCGGUAUGUAAAGCUCUAUCAGCAGGGAAGAAAAUGACAGUACCUGACUAAGAAGCCCCGGCUAACUACGUGCCAGCAGCCGCGGUAAUACGUAGGGGGCAAGCGUUAUCCGGAUUUACUGGGUGUAAAGGGAGCGUAGACGGAUAAGCAAGUCUGAUGUGAAAAUCCGGGGCAUAACCCCUGGACUGCACUGGGAACUGUCAGGCUGGA
rnacentral:rRNA from 1 species